rnacentral:ncRNA from 2 species
UUCAACGCCUUUUUUCAUGGUGCCCGCUGGGAUAAUCGGGAAGCCGGUGUAAAUCCGGCACUGCCCCCGCAACGGUAAGGAAGGCGCAGCGUCAUCAGGCCACUGUGGCAACACGGGAAGGCGGCGCUGCUAGACCCCGUCCAAGUCCGGAGACCGGCCAUGAAAGAAAACCUGAC